UUUCCUUUCUUUCUGUUCCCUACGCUCUCUCUCAAAAUUCCAUACUUUUAAUUCUUAUUUUUAUUUUCCUUGUAAUAAUAAUAAAGCCCUGUCUCGUUUUAAGUGUUUUAACUCCCGAUCACCGCUACCCUUUCCGAUUAAUCUGAGCCCUAUAACGCAUGUCAAGGCUCUGCCUGACUAAGUCCGUUUGGGUUCUAUCUCGGGACUUCGGGACAAGGUUGAUUUAGGGGUAUUAUACUUACCACGAGUGCAAUAUAUAUUUUUUUUUAGCCCAAAAGUUAUACCCAAAAUUUAUACCAGGAGGUUUUCUAGUUGAACCCUAAAGUUACACAGUGGGUCCAUUCCUUUUUCCCACCAUUUUUCUAUUUUGUAAACAAACUCGAUAGGGAACCAUAGUUGAGACACCCAAGUAAUCCUGCACAACUCCUAAAAUUUUCGUAGCAAUCAGAAUCAGGAUCAGGGCCCCUAAAACUCAGGGGGGAUAAACCCUAGUUGAUAAUUAUCAACUAAAUUCGUUGUACAGAUUCUAAAUUGAUUUUAAAAUGAGUCAGCAAAGCUAGUCCCGAAACCAGCUAGGCUAGGUAAAUAGACUACACCCUUUACGGACCGUAAGGGUAAGUCCUUACGGACCGUAAGCCUACCGGUUUCCUUUACGGACCGUAAGGGUUAAGUCAUACGGUCCGUAAGGGAGUCCCAAAAUUCACUAUAAAUAGCAGACAUUGGCAGUAGCUUUCUGAAGUUGAAACGACAUAAAUUGGUGGCCUGUACGUCGAAUUAGAGCUAUAAUACUACAAUUAAACACACACUGCAUUCGAAUCGCUGCCGCAGAACAGGGUAAUUACUCGAUCGCUAUUACGAUUCAUUUUCCGAGAUCAAUAUAUCCAAAGAAUGUUUAAGUGCCGCCCAUAUUAGGGUGAUACUUUGUCGUUCGUCGUUAAUUCGAUGAAUGUUUAAGUAUCGCACUUUGUCGUUCGUUGGGAGAAUUUGAUCUCGUGAGUUAUCGUAAAAGCUGUAUUGAUCAUUAACCCGGUUUUUGUGAAAUUCAUUAAGGUUCGAAUCUCAUGACUACCGUUAAGGUUGAUUUGGGUUUUACACCAAUACGUAUUCCAUUCUAUUAAACCACCAAAAAUACUCCCAACUACACCCUUACAAUCAAACAAACUAUUAAAUCAUCAGAAGAUCCAGAAUAAUAAAAUGCAUGCUUAAUUAUCGGAAGAAGUAGAAUCAAGAAGUUUGUUAACUCAAUCCUGCAUGCUGAUUUGUAAUUACAGUAGAUUGGAGUAAGGAUUGGAUCCGGCACUAAAGGACUUCAAGAAGUGGCUUAUUUUAUUAAUUAAAUCAACUUAAGAAAUAUUGUUUUUGGGUUAUCCCGUAUUAAAAGCUACCUUUGUAAAACAUGGAAUUUAUUCCAUCUAUUUAAAUAAAAAUCCGGUGU
rnacentral:lncRNA from 1 species